CACAAUAAAAUAUGAAGGCUGUACGCGGCUGUGCUCUCGGGCCAGUUUUGCGGAGGCUGAAUUAUUUGUUACCCUUGUCUUUUGCGCACUUGUUGUUUCCUGGGGCGGGUUCGCCCGCCACCAGGACCACAUCAUAAACCUUUUUUAUGCAGUUGCAAUCAGCGUCAGUAUAACAAAUGUAAAUCAUUUA
rnacentral:misc_RNA from 1 species